UGGGGAAUAUUGCACAAUGGGCGCAAGCCUGAUGCAGCAACGCCGCGUGCGGGAUGACGGCCUUCGGGUUGUAAACCGCUUUCAUCCAUGACGAAGCGAGAGUGACGGUAGUGGAAGAAGAAGCACCGGCUAACUACGUGCCAGCAGCCGCGGUGAUACGUAGGGUGCGAGCGUUGUCCGAAUUUAUUGGGCGUAAAGAGCUUGUAGGCGGUUUGUCGCGUCGGGAGUGAAAACUCAGGGCUUAACCCUGAGCCUGCUUCCGAUACGGGCAGACUUGAGGAAGGUAGGGGAGAUUGGAAUUCCUGGUGAAGCGGUGGAAUGCGUAGAUAUCAGGAGGAACACCAGUGGCGAAGGCGGAUCUCUGGACCUUUCCUGACGCUGAGAAGCGAAAGCGUGGGGAGCAAACA
rnacentral:rRNA from 1 species